rnacentral:rRNA from 1 species
CACGUAUGAGGCAAGCGUUGUUCGGAUUUAUUGGGCGUAAAGCGCGUGUAGGCGGGGAAUUAAGUUAGGUGUGAAAUCCAAUGGCUCAACCAGUGAAUUGCACUUAAUACUGAUUCUCUUGAGUUCGGGAGAGGAGAGCGGAAUUCUCGGUGUAGCGGUGAAAUGCGUAGAUAUCGAGAAGAACACCAGUGGCGAAGGCGGCUCUCUGGCCUAGAACUGACGCUGAGACGCGAAAGCGUGGGGAGCAAACGGG